GAACUUAAGCAUAUCAAUAAGCGGAGGAAAAGAAACCAACAGGGAUUGCCUCAGUAACGGCGAGUGAAGCGGCAACAGCUCAAAUUUGAAAUCUGGCUCUUUCAGGGUCCGAGUUGUAAUUUGUAGAAGAUGCUUUGGGUGUAGCUCCGGUCUAAGUUCCUUGGAACAGGACGUCAUAGAGGGUGAGAAUCCCGUACGUGACUGGGUGCUUUCGCUCGUGUAAAGCUCUUUCGACGAGUCGAGUCGUUUGGGAAUGCAGCUCAAAAUGGGUGGUAAAUUUCAUCUAAAGCUAAAUAUUGGCCAGAGACCGAUAGCGCACAAGUAGAGUGAUCGAAAGAUGAAAAGCACUUUGGAAAGAGAGUUAAACAGUACGUGAAAUUGUUGAAAGGGAAGCGCUUGCAACCAGACUUGCGCGCUGUUGAUCAUCCGAGGUUUUCCCCGGUGCACUCGGCAGCGUUCAGGCCAGCAUCGGUUUUGGUGGGCGGAUAAAGGCCUUGGGAAUGUAGCUUCUUUCGGGGAGUGUUAUAGCCCUCGGUGCAAUGCGCCCUACUGGGACCGAGGACCGCGCUUCGGCUAGGAUGCUGGCGUAAUGGUUGUAAGCGACCCGUCUUGAAACACGGACCAAGGAGUCUAACAUCUAUGCGAGUGUUUGGGUGUCAAACCCAUACGCGUAAUGAAAGUGAACGGAGGUGAGAACCCUUAAGGGUGCAUCAUCGACCGAUCCUGAUGUCUUCGGAUGGAUUUGAGUAAGAGCAUAGCUGUUGGGACCCGAAA
rnacentral:rRNA from 1 species